rnacentral:rRNA from 1 species
GAUGAACGCUAGCUACAGGCUUAACACAUGCAAGUCGCGGGGCAGCAUGGGGGUUGCUUGCACUCCCCGAUGGCGACCGGCGCACGGGUGAGUAACGCGUAUCCAACCUGCCCUUCACCACGGGAUAACCCGGCGAAAGUCGGACUAAUACCGUAUGUUGUCCAUUGACGGCAUCCGAUUUGGACGAAAGGCUUGGCGGGGAGGGAGGGGGGUGCGUACGAUUAGCCAGACGGGGGGGUAACGGCCCACCGUGGCUACGAUCGGUAGGGGUUCUGAGAGGAAGGUCCCCCACACUGGAACUGAGACACGGUCCAGACUCCUACGGGAGGCAGCAGUGAGGAAUAUUGGUCAAUGGGCGUAAGCCUGAACCAGCCAAGUAGCGUGCAGGAUGACGGCCCUAUGGGUUGUAAACUGCUUUUAUGCGGGGAUAAAGUGGCCCACGUGUGGGCUUUUGCAGGUACCGCAUGAAUAAGGACCGGCUAAUUCCGUG